rnacentral:rRNA from 1 species
AGCGAACGCUGGCGGCAGGCCUAACACAUGCAAGUCGAACGGAUCCUUCGGGAUUAGUGGCGGACGGGUGAGUAACACGUGGGAACGUGCCCUUUGGUUCGGAACAACUCAGGGAAACUUGAGCUAAUACCGGAUGUGCCCUUCGGGGGAAAGAUUUAUGGCCAUUGGAGCGGCCCGCGUCUGAUUAGCUAGUUGGUGAGGUAACGGCCCACCAAGGCGACGAUCAGUAGCUGGUCUGAGAGGAUGAUCAGCCACACUGGGACUGAGACACGGCCCAGACUCCUACGGGAGGCAGCAGUGGGGAAUCUUGCGCAAUGGGCGAAAGCCUGGCGCAGCCAUGCCGCGUGAAUGAUGAAGGUCUUAGGAUUGUAAAAUUCUUUCAGCGGGGACGAUAAUGACGGUACCCGCGGAAGAAGCUCCGGCUAACUUCGUG